UUUCAUGGACUUGUAUGUGCCUCAGGUUGAGAAGAGGUCAUCGUGGGGGGCGGAGUCAUGUGUCCCAUCUAAUAUGGCAAUUAGGCCUUUUGUCACUUCAUUUAACCGUUUUUAAGAGUACCGUCAAGGAUCUCAAGUCCAUUUUAGAGGGCGGAGUUGACGCCUUGUCAAAUUUACAUGAAUGAACAUUAAAGGUUUAGAAGAGGUCAUCGUGGGGGGCGGAGUCAUGCGUCCCAUCUAAUAUGGCGUUUUGGCCUUUUGUCACUUCAUUUAACCGUUUUUAAGAGUACCGUCAAGGAUCUCAAGUCCAUUUUAGAGGGCGGAGUUGACGCCUUGUCUUCACAUUUACAUGAAUGAACAUUAAAGGUAUCGUCAAGGAUCUCAAGUCCAUUUUAGAGGGCGGAGUUGACGCCUUGUCUUCAAAUUUACAUGAAUGAACAUUAAAGGUUUAGAAGAGGUCAUCGUGGGGGGCGGAGUCAUGCAUCCCAUCUAAUAUGGCGUUUUGGCCUUUUGUCACUUCAUUUAACCAUUUUAAAGAGUAUAGU
rnacentral:lncRNA from 1 species